GCACCAAGGGAGAAAAGGGACAUGCCAGAAAUGUAAUGAAAUUGAUUUAGGUCCCUUGCACAGCGACAGACCCAGUGUUCAGCACUGCAGGAGAGCCUGGGCUGGGAAAGUGAGGGUGCAGAAGCAGCGGGAGAGAACUUUUGAGUUCCUUGAGAUGUGUUUCUUUGGCUUAAUUGCUACCGGCUGAGAAUCAGCUCUGCGGUGGAAAAGAACAUGAGGCAGAGCAGAAUGGGGACCAGUAUUCCAGGAGACAUUUCCUGAUGGAAUAGAUCCAGUUUCUGGCGCUGUUUACUAAUGCAGAACAGGGUGGCCAGAGAGGUCGAAGUCUACCUGCAUUGAUUUAACAAUUGCAUAGCUUCUAUCUGAAAGAGAAAGAAAAACUAAAGAUGCAAGAAAUAGCUGAGGUCUUGUCCCCAGCUAAGGCUGCGGCUGGGACAUGCUGAGUUCUGACGUGCAGUGGCCCUCCUGAGGGAAUCCCUGUAGACACACCGCUAUAGAACACAUAGAUGUCCCAACCAGAAUACAGAUCAAGUUCCCAAUUUGAAUUGUAAAAAGAUGUUCGUAUAAGCAAAGCACGUUCAGUACUUUUCUGUUUUCAUCUCAUUUUACCAUGUUCUCUUAUCUCUGUAACUGUCUCAGCAGGUUGCCACAAGUAAUGCGAGCACAGCUUAAGGCAUUCUUUCAAACAUCUUUUUGGCAGAUUUCACUCACUCGUACCAGCCUUUGGAACACCUCUACUUGCGAGACAUUACUUUUUAGACUUUGGAAGAAAAGCUUUCAUGUCUAUAAAGUUUUGAUUCACAAACACCUCCCUGCUUCAAAGACUUAGCAAGUCACAGAUUCAUUUUCCCUCCCUCUUCUUGCUGCAGGAGACUAAAUAAUAAAUUCAGCAUAAGAACACUGGCUCCUAAGGGUGAUUCUUUCAAGUAUUCAAAUACUGCAUAUCCAGCUAGGAAGCAGAGCCAGCUGACGCCAUCAGUUGUUAUGCUGCUGCACAGAAGCUGUUCUGUGAUCAGCCUAGCUCCUACCUUUGAAACAGGCAGGGAGAGUAAGGUUGCCAUCCACACAUGGGACUGGUACGGUAUAGGCACAGGAUUUUUCUUUAUUCUUGCAGAAGAAGGAUACAGUUUCACCAUGCUGAACACCAUCCUUAAGGUCAUUCUGAACUCUUUUCUUCUCACCAUUGUAUAA